rnacentral:rRNA from 1 species
UACGAGGGUGGCAAGCGUUAUCCGGAUUUAUUGGGCGUAAAGAGCGCGUAGGCGGUUUCAUAAGUCUUGACAUAAAUCUCACUGCCUAACAGUGAACCUUGUUGAGAUACUGUGGAACUAGUGGAUGGCAGGGGUAAGCGGAAUUCCCGGUGUAGGAGUAAAAUCCAUUGAUAUCGGGAGGAACACCAAUGGCGAAGGCAGCUUACUAGGUCAUUUCAGACGCUAAGGCGCGAAAGCGUGGGGAGCGAAC